AGGAGAUGGAAGACAGAGGCAGAGAUUGGAGUGAUGCAGCGACUAGCCCAGGAAUGCCCAGGAGCCACCGGAAGCUGGAAGGAGCAAGGAACAGAUUCUCCCCUAGAACCUUUGGAGGAAGCAUGGCUCUGCCAACACCUU